GACGAACGCUGGCGGCGUGCCUAAUACAUGCAAGUAGGACGCUGAAGCUUGGUGCUUGCACCGAGCGGAUGAGUUGCGAACGGGUGAGUAACGCGUAGGUAACCUGCCUGGUAGCGGGGGAUAACUAUUGGAAACGAUAGCUAAUACCGCAUAAAAUGGAUUAUCGCAUGAUAAUCCAUUGAAAGGUGCAAAUGCAUCACUACCAGAUGGACCUGCGUUGUAUUAGCUAGUUGGUGGGGUAACGGCUCACCAAGGCGACGAUACAUAGCCGACCUGAGAGGGUGAUCGGCCACACUGGGACUGAGACACGGCCCAGACUCCUACGGGAGGCAGCAGUAGGGAAUCUUCGGCAAUGGACGGAAGUCUGACCGAGCAACGCCGCGUGAGUGAAGAAGGUUUUCGGAUCGUAAAGCUCUGUUGUAAGAGAAGAACGAGUGUGAGAGUGGAAAGUUCACACUGUGACGGUAUCUUACCAGAAAGGGACGGCUAACUACGUGCCAGCAGCCGCGGUAAUACGUAGGUCCCGAGCGUUGUCCGGAUUUAUUGGGCGUAAAGCGAGCGCAGGCGGUUAGAUAAGUCUGAAGUUAAAGGCUGUGGCUUAACCAUAGUACGCUUUGGAAACUGUUUAACUUGAGUGCAAGAGGGGAGAGUGGAAUUCCAUGUGUAGCGGUGAAAUGCGUAGAUAUAUGGAGGAACACCGGUGGCGAAAGCGGCUCUCUGGCUUGUAACUGACGCUGAGGCUCGAAAGCGUGGGGAGCAAACAGG
rnacentral:rRNA from 1 species